AUUGAACGCUGGCGGCAUGCCUUACACAUGCAAGUCGAACGGCAGCGCGGGGCAACCUGGCGGCGAGUGGCGAACGGGUGAGUAACAUAUCGGAACAUACCCUAGAGUGGGGGAUAACGUAGCGAAAGUUACGCUAAUACCGCAUACGCACUAAGGUGGAAAGUGGGGGAUCUUCGGACCUCAUGCUCAUGGAGUGGCCGAUAUCUGAUUAGCUAGUUGGUGAGGUAAAGGCUCACCAAGGCGACGAUCAGUAGCUGGUUUGAGAGAACGACCAGCCACACUGGAACUGAGACACGGUCCAGACUCCUACGGGAGGCAGCAGUGGGGAAUUUUGGACAAUGGGGGCAACCCUGAUCCAGCAAUGCCGCGUGAGUGAAGAAGGCCUC
rnacentral:rRNA from 1 species